rnacentral:rRNA from 1 species
GAUGAACGCUGGCGGCGUGCCUAAUACAUGCAAGUCGAGCGAACAGAUGAGGAGCUUGCUCCUCUGACGUUAGCGGCGGACGGGUGAGUAACACGUGGAUAACCUACCUAUAAGACUGGGAUAACUUCGGGAAACCGGAGCUAAUACCGGAUAAUAUAUUGAACCGCAUGGUUCAAUAGUGAAAGACGGUUUUGCUGUCACUUAUAGAUGGAUCCGCGCCGCAUUAGCUAGUUGGUAAGGUAACGGCUUACCAAGGCAACGAUGCGUAGCCGACCUGAGAGGGGGAUCGGCCACCCUGGAACUGAGACACGGCCCAGACUCCUAGGGGAGGCAGCAGUAGGGAAUCUUCCGAAAUGGGCGAAAGCUUGACGGAGCAACGCCGCGUGGGUGAUGAAGGUCUUCGGAUCGUAAAACUCUGUUAUUAGGGAAGAACAAUUGUGUAAGUAACUAUGCACGUUUUGACGGUACCUAAGCAGAAAGCCACGGCUAACUACGU